GCCGGGCGUUGUGGCGGGCGCCUGUGGUCCCAGCUACUUGGGAGGUAGAGACAGGAGACUUGCUUGAGCCCAGGAGUUGGAGGUUGCUGUGAGCUGUAAUGCCACAGCACUCUACCCAGGGGGACAGCUUGAGGCCCUGUCUCAAAAAAAAAAAAAAAAAAAAAGAGAAAUCACCAAGGUAAGGAUAAACUAUAUAUAUUUUUUAUUUGUAUGUAUUUAUUUAUUUAUUUUGAGGUGGAGCCUCAAGCUGUCCCCCUGGGUAGAGUGCUGUGGCAUCACAGCUCACAGCAACCUCCAACUCCUGGGCUCAAGUGAGUCUCCUGCCUCCA
rnacentral:SRP_RNA from 1 species